UUGAUGCCCCACUCUUCUCCACACUGCAGCACAUCAUGGACGUCGCCGACGACGCCGAGAAGUCAUUCAACGCCCCCACCCGGACCUACGUCCGCGACGCCAAGGCGAUGGCCGCGACGCCAGCCGACGUCAAGGAGUACCCUAACUCCUACGUGUUCGUGGUGGACAUGCCAGGGUUGAAGUCCGGGGACAUAAAGGUCCAGGUGGAGGACGACAAUGUACUUCUGAUCAGCGGCGAGAGGAAGCGGGAGGAGGAGAAGGAAGGGGUUAAGUACGUGAGGAUGGAGAGGAGGGUUGGCAAGUUCAUGAGGAAGUUUGUGCUGCCGGAGAAUGCGAAUGUAGAUGCGAUUUCUGCUGUUUGCCAGGAUGGGGUUCUGACUGUGACGGUUGAGAAGCUGCCGCCACCGGAGCCAAAGAAGCCGAAGACAAUCGAGGUC
rnacentral:lncRNA from 1 species